rnacentral:rRNA from 1 species
UACGUAGGGUGCAAGCGUUAUCCGGAUUCACUGGGUUUAAAGGGUGCGUAGGUGGGUUGGUAAGUCAGUGGUGAAAUCUCCGAGCUUAACUUGGAAACUGCCAUUGAUACUAUCAGUCUUGAAUAUUGUGGAGGUCAGCGGAAUAUGUCAUGUAGCGGUGAAAUGCUUAGAUAUGACAUAGAACACCAAUUGCGAAGGCAGCUGGCUACACAUAUAUUUACACUGAGGCACGAAAGCGUGGGGAUCAAACAGG